rnacentral:lncRNA from 1 species
AUGCAAAUGGCAACCAUCAUCACUUUUCCUGGUCCCUUGAAGAACACUGUUGCUGUUCUGGAGCGUGGCUUGGUGUUUCCCAAGAAAUCUCUGUAUUCUCUUAAUAUUUUUUGGUUUCUAAACAGCUGUUCUCUGUAUUCUAUUUCUGCCUCCUUACGUAGCUUUUUCUCUCUAGCAAGAGCUUCAGGGCUUCCCCAAACUUCCAAAGAUCUAGAUUUGAGGCAGAACUCAUUUAUUGCUCUGACUCCAGUGAUGAAAUUAUUCUGAGUGUAUUUUGAUCCAUACUCCCUUUUCUUAAGAACUGCUUUGACCUUUACUUGGAGAGGUUCUUGCUUUAGCGGAGCUUUGAGUUUUGCACCUGUAUUUUC